rnacentral:rRNA from 1 species
UAUCCAACCUGCCCACCACUUGGGGAUAACCUUGCGAAAGUAAGACUAAUACCCAAUGACGUCUCUAGAAGACAUCUGAAAGAGAUUAAAGAUUUAUCGGUGAUGGAUGGGGAUGCGUCUGAUUAGCUUGUUGGCGGGGUAACGGCCCACCAAGGCAACGAUCAGUAGGGGUUCUGAGAGGAAGGUCCCCCACAUUGGAACUGAGACACGGUCCAAACUCCUACGGGAGGCAGCAGUGAGGAAUAUUGGUCAAUGGACGAGAGUCUGAACCAGCCAAGUAGCGUGCAGGAUGACGGCCCUAUGGGUUGUAAACUGCUUUUAUAAGGGAAUAAAGUGAGUCUCGUGAGACUUUUUGCAUGUACCUUAUGAAUAAGGACCGGCUAAUUCCGUGCCAGCAGCCGCGGUAAUACGGAAGGUCCGGGCGUUAUCCGGAUUUAUUGGGUUUAAAGGGAGCGUAGGCCGGAGAUUAAGCGUGUUGUGAAAUGUAGACGCUCAACGUCUGCACUGCAGCGCGAACUGGUUUCCUUGAGUACGCACAAAGUGGGCGGAAUUCGUGGUGUAGCGGUGAAAUGCUUAGAUAUCACGAAGAACUCCGAUUGCGAAGGCAGCUCACUGGAGCGCAACUGACGCUGAA